UACGUAGGGUGCGAGCGUUGUCCGGAAUUACUGGGCGUAAAGAGCUCGUAGGCGGUGUGUCGCGUCGGCCGUGAAAACCUGCAGCUUAACUGUGGGCGUGCGGUCGAUACGGGCAUCACUGGAGUUCGGCAGGGGAGACUGGAAUUCCUGGGUGUAGCGGUGAAAUGCGCAGAUAUCAGGAGGAACACCUGUGGCGAAAGCGGCUCACUGGACCACAACUGACGCUGAUGCGCGAAAGCUAGGGGAGCAAACAGG
rnacentral:rRNA from 1 species